rnacentral:lncRNA from 1 species
UUGUUGCCUCUCCGCCAGGUGAGUUUGGACAAUCUGGUGGGAGCCGGCAGGGCCGAGCGGCGGGCCCCCCCUGCUUGGCGUACCUUGGAAAUAAGCUCAUCGUGUUUGGCCAGGUGCGCACGGCAGUGGACGCAGCUGUAGGUGCGGUGGCAACGAGGCAGGUAGCUGCGGAACGUCUUGGCGGGGAGGCAGGCAGGGCCCGGGCCCGGGUCGCAGCUGGGCAUGACGGGCUGGAGGACGAUGCCCUGGCGGGCUGGAGGGGCUGGCGCCGUGCAGCCCCCACACAGUCGGUCGCAGGUGAAGCAGCGAAGCAGGUUGGCUAGAGCCGUGUUUCGGGGCAGGAGAAAUGUGGGGGGGCUGCCCGGCCAGGGCCCCCCCAGACGUGAACCAGAUAGAAAUGGAAGUCACCUGGGAAGAGGGGAGAGUGCAUCAGGAGAGCCCCUCCCGAGGGAACGAGGGAACCGGGAAGAUGGGCUCAGCCCUCCCCUGCCCCUACUUCCCCCAUCACGAUCGUCCCCCCGCAGCGCCCAGUCGCACUCUCUCCCCGGUCCCUGGUCCCUGGAUUCCCGCCUGCUCUGGCAGCUGUUCCAGGCCUCCGGUGCCACAGCCGGGGAGGUGGUGUCUUUCCCUCCUGGGGCGGGAGCAGCCGCCACCAUUUUCCACUGAGAGCAGCCUGCUGGUGCAAAUGCUGCCAUGGGAGCAACGUCAUCUGCGAGUUGCUCUCGCCUGGGUUUUGGCUCUUUGGUGAGGGUCUGCGUCCCACGUGCGCCGGAAGGCUCAGGUUCAGAGCCUCUUGCAAGUUGGGGAAGCCUGACGGUUUUUCUUUUCUGUGGCUUCCAUUUGCAAUGCAAUUGGUCCUUCGUAGGUGUCGCGUGGGAGAGAGGCCAGCAGGCGGGCAAGUACACACGCCCUGCUCGGCCCUUUCCUGGGCCUGGGGUCCUGCACUCCCGGAACUAGAACUUCAUGGCUGUCUCCGUUGGUACUGACAACCUCAGAUGUGGCUGUUCGCCCGGUCCCGCACUUUGGUCCUCUCGUUCCAGCUUUUCUCAGCUUCUGAGCCCCUUGGUCUGUCUGUACUGCUCUAACUGUUGCCUUAGCCUCAGUUAAAGACGUGGACAUUCAGCCCGUGGAGAGACAGACCUGACAGCCGGAAGCCAUGGGAAGUGGGGAUCACUUCGGGGAGGGUGGCACUCCUGGGCUAGGUGAUGUGCAGUGGGAGCAGAAGUGGGAGAUUCUUAUUUUCAAAACCUAUGCUCUGGGGUAUAAGGCAGAGAACGUUUCCACCUUUUCCCAGGGCCAGGGACGAACAGCAGUGACUCUUGUGGGUGACAGCAGAUAAAAUAAUUGCUGGUUUCUGGUUAGGAAUGGUGAGAAAGAUAUUGGUAUCUGUCCAGACUCCAGUCCCAAAGUGACUGAGGGUACAAGAGGCAGAGGAUAAGAAGGGAGGUGUCCUCUGUUGCCUCUGAUAAGGCGUCUCCUUCAUGGGGCCUUCAGGCCUGUUGUGGGUGAUUUAGCUCAAGUCCAGUUUAGAGGUGCCAGCUCGGUGCUCUGGCAAGGCAAGGCCACUAAGCAGAGCAGGGACAGUGUGGCUGCGAGUAGUCAGGGCAAAGAGGCUCUCAUCAUGUCCUCUGUGGUGGCCACUGGUGCCCCAGCCACUUUAGUGUUUCCUGGGGCCGCCAGGCAGCAGUCUCUCCACAGAACCCCCAACAGAGCCCAUCUUCAGUUUGAGGUCCUUUCCCUGUGGCUGGGCCCCAGAAAGACACCUUGAGCUGAGUUCAGGGUGACAUUGGGCUCUGGCCGCAGGAGUCUGGGCCCUCCUCACCAGCGUCCACUUCCCAGGUCUGCCUUCAAACUUUGCCUGAGUUCCCCUCUGCUGCUCUCCACCUAAGUGCACCUGUGAAGGGGCUGGCUGGGUCCCUGCUCUCUAGCUCCUUCCCCAGCCUAUGUCACGCCUCCCUCCCUCUCUCUCCCCUGCUUCCCCAUCAGGCCAAAGAGAGGCUGCACAGAAGGCCAAAGAAUCACUCGCGGAGGGGGGGGGGGGGGGGGAAGGGGGCUGGGAAGGGGAGAUGGGUUCAUUUCUUUCCCGGCUCAGAUCACAGGGAGAAGCAAGUUGGGCAAAUGAUGGAAAAACAAAGGCAAGCUGAGUGUUAGGGAGAGGAUAUUCCCCCAAGUGAGCCUGGGCUGGACCGUGGGAGGUAGGGGAGAGGGAGGGCUGGUGGAGGGGGGGGGGGGGGGUGGGGGGGGGGGGGGGGGCGGGCGGUGUGCUGAGCAACCAGUGCUGACAGCAGAGGCGCCCAGGCAGAGGCUCGGGGAACCAGGUGCGAAUCCUGUGCCUGGGGGAGUAAGGGGGGGGGGCGGACGCAACACCUGCUCACAAUGGAUUUUCUCAUCUCCUCCGAGGUUUCAUCCCCCACCCCCCCGGGCUGGCGUUCUCGGUAUGGUAUGGUCCAAAUAAUCAGCAGCGCAGCCAGCUCCCCGGUCGGGCUUCGGGGGUCUGCAUCAGCAGCAAAACAAUAAACAGUGAGGCCUGAUGCAGCAGCCGAAGUUGCCGGGAAAUCUAAGUGCGGAACCGUCAGAGCUCGGAGAGGGAGAGAGGAGCAGAGGCAGCGGGGAGGGGGAAGGGAGGACAAAGGGUGGAUGAAUAAUGCUUUUGCGAUGGGGAGAAAGCAACACGCAGCAGGAGGAGGAAAUUUGCAAAGGGGAAAAAAAUUCAUUUGGAGAAGGGCUGCCCCCUCACCUUGAGGUCUGCUCCAGAGAUCUCCGUCUAUCUCUCUCUCUCUCAAUCUCUCAAUCUCUCUGCUCACUCUUCUCUCUUCUCUUUCCGCUCCUUCAAUUGGGAAGGGGAUGGGGGCAGGGGAGAGUAGUUAGGGGCUCGAGACUGGGGCUGCCAAGCUGGCCAGCUGCUGGGGGGCCAGAGGUUGUCUCUCGUCUGUACCUCGGUCUGUGGGUGAAUGUAGCUGUGUGUUGUGGAACUGCAUCAUAACACUGUGAGUCAUCCGUCCCCCCACCCCCUCACCUCCCACGUCAGAGCAGGGCUGGGAGACACAGGAGGCGGGUCGGGAGGAAGGGAGGGGGCAGGCGGGGAGGGAUGGGGCUAGGGGAGGGAGCAGAGGGCCGGGGUGGCCAGGGGGGCGCAGGAGGAAAGGCUGGUUGCCGAGGAGGAAGGCGGUGUGGCCAAGGAGACAGAAGGAACCUGGAGGAAGGACAGGGCUGGCCAGGAUGGAGUAUGGGUGGCAGGGCUGGAGGAAAGGAGGUGGCCAGGCGGUGACAGUGAGAGACGGAUGCAGAGAGGCGUGUGCACACACAUCCAAGAUGAUAUAUUUCCCAUCUCAGCUCCGAUGCCCGCCCUGACGCAGGGAAAAGAGAGACAUAUUGUCACAUAGGGCAAACUGUGCCCCCAAGCUUGUACCGGACACUUCCAAGCCUCAGCUUAAUGUCCCCGAAAGGGUCACAGAUGAAAUUGGACAUCUCACAAGCAGGAACCUCUGCUCAGCUACCUCCAAGCUACUUGUGCUUUCUGGACAGAAACACCCACAUUACAUAAGGUUCUCUAACGGGCUGUAAACUUUCUGAGAAGCGUCCUCUGGGAAACUCCUUUCUGCAUCCCAGGACUGCAGUGCCUAGCGCAGAGCCCCGCAUCCAGAAGACGAUCAGAAAACAGCGGCUGAGUUGCAUCUUCAGACGUGGUCCGAGUGUCUGGCUUGGGUCUCAGAGAGA